GAAAGUUUGGUCCUCGCUUCCCAGAAGUCAUCUGUAAGGCAGUCGCAGGAAUAAGCACAAACUAGAAGAGGCUCACUAAUCCCAAGAACAAUGAAAAGUAUCUGGGGAGGUCAAGGCUGACUGUAAUUCAGACUCAGUCUAAGAGAAAGAUAAUCUAGGGUAACAGGUAUUUGGACAGUACUCAGAUUAAGAAAUUCAAAGAGGUAUCCGAUGCCCUAUUUAUUUUGGGAACUGUUCUCUGAACGUAAUUCUGUGACUAAAUGAGAGCGGCUUCUCUCCCGGACCUGGUGGCCCCAGCCUGCCCCCUCCCCACCCACACCCUGUGUUCCUGUGGCUCUUUGGAAAGAGAGCACAGGCUCAGGAUGGAAGAAUUUCGUUUUUGAGUUAAAUAAGUCCACUCGAAGUUCCAGAGGAGGGGCCUGGCAGAGACCGCGUUCUGAUCAUAGGGGCGUGGGCGAGGAAAACUCUGAUAAGCUCCACGGUGAAGGGGUGAAGGAAUCGGCAGUGGGAGAGCAGAGCGCCAAGGCAAAGGGAACGUUCACUUCACACCCGGGCAGCCCUCCUGUCGGGAGAUUCUGAGACAACGGAACAGACAGACAAUGGGAUUGAGGCCACCUCCGCCCGGAACCACCCUGGACAGCGCCCUUUAGGAAACAAUUGGAGGUGGAGCCGUGAGCCUGGGAACCACAGGAGACUGGACGGCGGCUACAGAGGGACUCUGUGCCUUCGGGGACAACGGCAUGCUCCUGUGAAGUCUCCUGACGACCCUGCCUCCAUUUCUGGCCUGGGGAGGGAGUUUUCAAGACAACACCGGCCCAUGGCAGGAGAAUGAGGGUGCUGUGGGCAGGCCUGGGCCAGGCCGGCCUCCCUGCACCCCACUGUGUGGGCAGCCACAUCCACAACUGGGCCAAGGCCCAGCUGCCUGAGGGGCACAGGACUUAGGAACCGGACCACAGGGGAAGUUCUCCCUCCAUGUCAGCCAUUUACAGCACAGCACCAUGUGCAUAGCCUUCUGACAGCGCCUUCUCUACUCCCCGCACCGUGGUAAAGAACAGAUACCCAUCCCCUCCCCUGGGAGGAAAAGCCAACACAGACACCUGUCGAAACUUCUCCCACCCUCCAGAGGUAAAACCCUCAGGUUAAAAUGAAAGACACAUCUCACCCCCUCCAAGAAGUCUGUUCAGAUUGCUCCAAUCAGACUGUAUCUUUCCUCUCUUUGCUUUCUAAAACUCAUGGAGGGCAAAGACCAUUCAUCAACAAAUAUGUGUUAUCAUCUUCUAGGAGCCAGGCCUGAGCUGGGGAUACAGCAAUGAGCAAAGACCACCCUGACUUCCCUCAGGACACUGGCCAUCUGAUUUUUCUUCCUAGGUCCGCUCCUCUCACCCAGCCCAGCUCAUACAGUGCCCAGGCAUACAAAAGCCCUCAAAUGUCCCUUUGAGAGCUCCCUAAGCCUCCCCAGAACCUUGACACUGUUCCUCUGGGUCAUCCCAAGCACGGAGAAAGAGAA
rnacentral:lncRNA from 1 species